GACGAACGCUGGCGGCGUGCUUAACACAUGCAAGUCGAACGGAAAGGCCCUGCUUUUGUGGGGUGCUCGAGUGGCGAACGGGUGAGUAACACGUGAGUAACCUGCCCUUGACUUUGGGAUAACUUCAGGAAACUGGGGCUAAUACCGGAUAGGAGCUCCUGCUGCAUGGUGGGGGUUGGAAAGUUUCGGCGGUUGGGGAUGGACUCGCGGCUUAUCAGCUUGUUGGUGGGGUAGUGGCUUACCAAGGCUUUGACGGGUAGCCGGCCUGGGAGGGUGACCGGCCACAUGGGGACUGGGAUACGGCCCAGACUCCUACGGGAGGCAGCAGUGGGGAAUAUUGCACAAUGGGCGGAAGCCGGAUGCAGCAACGCCGCGUGCGGGAUGACGGCCUUCGGGUGGUAAACCGCUUUCGCCUGUGACGAAGCGUGAGUGACGGUAAUGGGUAAAGAAGCACCGGCUAACUACGUG
rnacentral:rRNA from 1 species